UACAAGGUUCAUGCGCUUGGCAACAUUCAGGGCACACCCGGAGUGUUGUAUAGGAGCUGUGCACACACAGCUCUUCUCAAGGGCAUGAACCUUGGAAUCUCGCCCAGAUGACAUGAACCGUGGGAAGCCUCCCAGGACUGGGCUCAAGGCCCGAGAGCAAGGAAUGCGGUAGAUAGAAACUGGUAAAUAAGAAUGUUAAACAAAGCCAGUGUAUUCCUUUUAUCUGUCGGAGAAUGUAAUGCGCGGGGGGAGAGAAAGAAUAAAGGGGAAGGUGGAAAGCUGACAGGCAGAAGCCCGUUAGCAGACCAGCUUGCUUGCUUGCUUAAAGCUCUGUGCUGUCUUGUCAUUGAACCACAACAACUGGUGCCCAAACGUGGGGCCCUCAGCACUCACCUCGCCCGGCAAGGGUUUCAGACGCGUCACUCAUCCGCUUCGCGGAUCCCGGACUGUUGUGGGUUCCAGCCCGGUGUGUGCGACCGGCACUGAAACAGCAUGGCGUGGCACCAGGGGCUGUCGAACGCCAUACCGGAGUUUCAGCUCUCCUGGGAGGAGAACGCAGUGCCUCCUGGGUCGACAACGACGGGACGGAAACGGAGGAGGCGUAGCGUCCCAAGCCAGCCCGUGACAUGGGGAGCAGUAAAAGCAUUGGUCGCCGCGGCUCAACGAAGACUGGCAGCAAACCAACAGCCAGAGACUUCUGAGACUCUGUUUGUGGCAAUUCUGUUUGUGCCCAAAUUACUGCUAAUUCUGUAUUGAUUGUAUGCCUUUUGUGCCUGCUAUUUCCUGUAGGGGUUGGCUCGGGAGCGCUUUCUCCGUUACGCUCCCGAAUGAUAUAUAACCUAUGGGAAAUAUUGGCUUCAAUAGCAAAUGUUACCCACUUUUGUUUAUCUGAUUUUGUAGCAGCUGAAGAAUUGUUAGGUAUGUGCCUUAUUCCAGUAUGUCAUCACCCUGAGGAAAUUGGAAAUGAGAUGAUGCUCGCUGCUUACGCGAACCUCUCUUCCCAGUACUCUAGCAUGGCUAAUUGGGGCCCGGCCAAUUACACUUUACCUUCUUGAGCUUAUUUUUUGCUGUUGCUGUGUGCAAUGUAUUUCCUUUUUGUUAAGGCUUUGUCGAGAACCGCCCUGGCAGGCUCCACGAGUUAUGACCUCAUCUGUCCGGGAGUUAAUUGGCUUGCGAGAGCAAAUUGAUGGCUACCAUGAGAUGGCCGAGCACAAAUAAACAAAAAAGGAGGGGAUGUAGGAUUCAUACAAGGUUCAUGCGCUUGGCAACAUUCAGGGCACACCCGGAGUGUUGUAUAGGAGCUGUGCACACACAGCUCUUCUCAAGGGCAUGAACCUUGGAAUCUCGCCCAGAUGACAUGAACCGUGGGAAGCCUCCCAGGACUGGGCUCAAGGCCCGAGAGCAAGGAAUGCGGUAGAUAGAAACUGGUAAAUAAGAAUAUUAAACAAAGCCAGUGUAUUCCUUUUAUCUGUCGGAGAAUGUAAUGCGCGGGGGGAGAGAAAGAAUAAAGGGGAAGGUGGAAAGCUGUCAGGCAGAAGCCCGUUAGCAGACCAGCUUGCUUGCUUGAA